GCUGGGUGCGGUGGUGUGUGCCUGUAGUCCCAGCUACUCGGGAGGCUGAGGUGGGAGGAUCGCUUGAGCCCAGGAGUUCAGGACUGUAAUGUGCUAUACCGAUCGGGUGUCCAAACUAAGUUCAGCAUCAAAAUGGUGACCUCCCAGGAGCGAGGGACCACCAGGUUGCCUAAGGAGGGGUGAACCGGCCCAGGUCGGAAACCAAGCAGGUCAAAACUCCCAUGCCAAUUAGUAGUGUGAUCGCGCCUGUGAACAGCCACUGCACUCCAGCCUGGGCAACAUAGCAAGACCCUGUCUCC
rnacentral:SRP_RNA from 1 species